ensembl:snoRNA SNORD115 Small nucleolar RNA SNORD115
GGUUCAAUGAUGAUAUGCUAUCUUGAACAAAAGUGAUGGGUCAGAAGUCAAGCUCAGCUGGAUUACUGAGGCCC